rnacentral:lncRNA from 1 species
CAGGGGUGUAGUGAUAAGACAAGGGAUAGUGGCUUUAAACUAACAGAGGGUAGAUUCAAAUUAGCUAUAUGGAAAAAGUUCUUUACUCAGAGGGCGCACUGGCACAGGCUGCCUAGAGAAGCUGUGGGUGCCCCAUCCCUGGAGGUGCUUAAGGCCAGACUGGAUGGGGAUUUGGGCAACCUGAUCCGGUUGAGAAUUGUCCCUGCCCAUGGCAGGGGGGUGGAAUUGAAUGGUCUGUAAGGUCCUUGCCUUACAGACCAUUUGAUGAUUCCACGAUUCUAUGAUUCCAUGAUGAUUCCAAACCAUUUGAUGAUUCCAUGAAAUUUAUCUUUGAUCCCUGUGUUUGCUGUCUACUUGUCUUUCAGCAGUGGUGGCUGGAGAAGGUUGGAGCAGGCUCUGCAUCAGAAGAGAACUGUGUAACCAUUCCUUCAUCUCAGGAAUACAUGGACAUCAAGAUAGCAUUAGAAACCUGCUAAUAACUAAUACUUCUCAUACAGAUUCAUAACCAUCUAAAUAUUGGAACAAAAAGCUCCACUUCUACAGACUGUAUAGGAAAUAUGUAAAAUAUGGUACUUAAACAAAUAUUUAGUCAGAGUUUCAGUGCUUUUUUUGUAUAACUAAUAUUUUUGGUUCAGUCACUUUUUCUCUUUACUUCUAAAACAGUGUGAGAGAUGCGAGAAUAUUGUGAAUCUCUAAUUUCUUUUAAAGUCAGGAGUUCUGAAUACAAAAUGCGUUUUCAACAUCACUCCAAGCAACUUUUUGUAUCUGAUUAACUGUGUGAUUCAAAUUACCAAAUCUUAAGAGCCUAAGUUUCCCGUCUAGUCAGUAGAGAGGUAAAUGCUUCCAGAGAACUAAUUAGAUCAACUAAGUAAACAGUAUGAAUGGUUCCCCAAUGUCAUCAGCUCAAUUAAUGAAGAAAAAUUGCUUUUCAAGAAAUAUGUUUCUGGACUGAUUUAUAAACUAAACAUUUAGUAUUUCCACUUUGUAGUUAUUCAUGAGGUUAAUUAUUUGUACCUCAGCAUAUGUUUUCUUCUAGACCUAGCAGGUAAGGUAGAGAAAGCAAUUUGAUAUUAAAAAACAACAACAACAAAAAAACAAAAAAACAACAACAACAACAACAACAAAAAAAAACACAGGAGAAAGAAACCUUGACUGAAACUAUUUAAAUGCACAGUAUGGGCACUGUGACCUUAUUCUCUUCUUGAUGAGAUCCAAGAUUGCUUUAUUAGUUAGACCUGAAAAUUAGUAGUUACGGGUACUUCAGAGAGCAUAAAUUUGUAGCACUGUUUUAAACUGCAAGUAAUGAGUAACUUCAUUUGGGAGUGCUUGGUAGUUUUAUCCUUAUUCAUUAAUUAGGGAAAGGAACCACUCUCCUGUCGACAUGAGUGCAAUCAGAAACAUAAUCCCCUAUGAAAAGCACUGGGAGGUGGAGGAGUAAAAACUCAGUGAAUCUGGAGCACAGCAUCUGGGUUGCCA